CCACUAAUGUCUAAUUAGCUGCAAGAUGAGUAAAAUGUUAAUCUUUUUUUCUUUGAAAAUCUGAUGGAUAAAAUAGGAAAUUGUUCUUGGUUGCAUUAUGUACUCUCAGUUUUCGAUUAUUUUAAAAACAAUUUUUUGAGGGGUAUUUCAAAAAUAAAUAAAUAAGUUGUCCUGAUGGGCUGUACAAUGUCAGGCCCAUUAUAGCCCCCUUUCAGGGCCCGGUGAAUGCGAGAGAGACCUCAUCUUCUUUUCCCUUCCCAUGGCCGUGGCUACCCUCGGUCCCAUCCCCAAAUCCCAGCGAGAGAUUUCCGCCGCCGCCUUCCUCUUCCUGCCAAGCGGCUACUCCCUUCUCCUCUGCCCCGAGCUCAUCGCUCUCCGGAUUUCCACGCCGCCGUGGAGGGGUCAGUCUGUUCCAGGCUGCCGCGUGAGCAGGAGAAGGGGCAGCCGGAGAGGCGGGGUAAGGUGCCUUCGCUGCGAAGCCGGCGACGGGCGUAGAGGUGCAGCCGCCGGUCACUCCGAUCACUUGGCUCCUUCUCCUUCUGGAUUAAUCAGAAGCAAAAUUAGACUGCAGCUCGUGUCCACCGAAAGUAAGGAAACUACUAGGAUGCAUCUCGUGUAUGAUGAAGCCACUGUCGCCGUUGACGGCCUGGCCAUGGCUUUCCUGCCCACACUUGAGCUCAACGCGGAGGGCAAUCGAGUGACAAGGACAUUCAUUUGACACUACUGAUGCCAAUGCUAUGACUGAUCGGUCUGGAAUAAGGGGGGCACAAUCCAGACGAUCAAGGUGGCUCAAGACUGGGUAGGGUAGGGGGUGAAAGGCAAGGGCUGAUGAUCACACCGAUUGUGCCGGAUGAGAGUGCUUAAAUCGAAGCUAUAGGCAGAAGAGCAAUCAAUUCUGCACAACUUUUGACGCGUAUUAUUGCAUUUGGGCCUAAGUUAACUCAGUGGCCAUUUGCUGGCUAGAUCAACCUAGGCUGCAAAUCUUAUGUGCUGUUAAGUUCUAAUUUGCUUGACAGUUUAAGACCAUGAUUUAUAAGGAUAUCUAUAGUACGUUUUUUAGGGGAACAUAUAUCGCGAGGGCUA